AAAGGAGACAGACAUAUCCUGCUUGCUCCUGAGCUAGGAGACUGCAGCAGGCUCCCACUGAGCUGAGGACUGGGCAGAGCUGCUGAAGCCACCUGCUGACAAAGGCAUUGAGGAGUUGCUGGGACUGCCACUGGCCUUCUACUUCGAUGAACCAGAGGACCCCCAGUGGCUCCAAGUACAACCUGAGGGGAAGAUUAUAGUGAUCUCAGCCCAAGAAGCCCUGGAAUGUGAUUCCUUCCGAGGACAUGCUUAAUUGAGACGUAAUGACAUUGACUUGGUGUGCAACAGAAUGUAGUAAGAAGAGCAUGGAAUGGAUUUUAUUAACACUACUGAGCUGCUUGUGAAUAAUUUUGGAAAACACCCAAAGAACUGUACAAAUGUGAAGGAAACAUGGGACUAAAAUGUUGUUUGACCCAGACAAGUCUAGGGAGUGAGCACCCUUCCCAGACAAAGGAAAGGCCAAUGCCUCCAUCCAGGUGCUAUCAGAGACAAUUGGCAAUCACCGUCCAGUGCCAUUCAUUGCCAUAUCGGAGACUGAAGGGACAGAUCAAUUUGCAUUGCAGAAAGCACCAGCAGGGAAGAAACCAGAGUGGAACCUUCUCCAUCAGCCUCCAUGGCACUUUUCAUCCAAGCAGGGGCACUGGACUUUGAGAUAGACACAUUUCAAAUGUUCACUGGCCUAUAAAAGAGAGGGGCAAAGAAUCCUACUUUACCUUUCGUCUCAGAAGACAAAGGAAGGAAGCACUUUGGACUUUGUGGGAGUGGUCAGCCAUGUUGCUGGAAGGAGGAAUAAGUCACUUACUUUAAACCCAGACUGUAAUUUUGGUAAGUCAAAGCCCUGGUCUGCACUACGAGUUUAGGUAUUUAGCAGCAUUAGAUCGAUUUAACCCUGCACCCGUCCACACAACGAAGCCAUUUUUGUCGACU